AGUGAACAAACUUCUACAGCUAAGACGAGGUAAUUAUUAAAUUAUUACACUCGAGCCAUUCAUUUUCAUUCAGUUUGCCUUUUAGCACUUUUUGUCGUCAAAAUGCCAGGUAAAUAGAUUUCGUUGAAAAUCAAAAUUUAUCCCGCUAAAUGAAUUGUAAUUGUGUGUGCUUGUGUAAUUAAUUACAGUCGCAAAUUAUUCUCUUUUUGACAAUGUUGACAUAAAAAUGUUUUGUUGCACUGAAAGGUACGUAUUUGAUUUCGAUAAAAACGGUAUAAACAUGAGUGGCCCAUUUCUAAUUUUGAUAAUAAAAAUGGAAAAUCAUUCCGAAGAAGCUUCUGAAUUAGUGGCGGCGGACGAAACAAGGUAUAAAUUGCUGCCUCAAAAAUCUAAAAAUCGUUGUGAAAUCGAAUAUCAGUUGUUUAAGUCUGGAUGAGAGAAAACCAGGUAAAUGUAAUUAAAUUAACGAGACACUGAUACUGGCAUACUUUAACGAACAUGCUAAAACAUAUCAAUUUCUAAUUUGAAACACUCCAUUAGUUAAAGGAAAAAAAAACGUAAAUAUUAAAUUGUACAGAAAGUUCAUAUAUUUUCUGAAAAUUAAUCGGGUUAGUCACCAGACUAAGAAAGCAAUGGUAAAUGAUAAAUAAGGAAAUGUGCUUUAGUUUUUUUGAAGGUUCCUUAUGAGAUGCACAACUUCAGUCAUGAUUAAAAUUAUAGAUUGCUCCUUUAUGUGGAAUUUUUGGAGCUUGUCGAAGGGAGGAUGGUUUAGAAGACGGAGGCUCUGUUCUUGUAAUUAAUUAAUCUCCGGCUUCGACUUCUAUAAAAAAGCUGUUGCUUUGCACACAUCGUCGUUGUUUCUUACAAUACAUGAAGAAUGGAGCACUGUACAAAUCGUGGGAAAAAUAUUUUUGGAAGUACUCCGAAAACAGUUGCACAGUAUCUUCAACUUCCCGACGCAAGCAAGUAUACUGGUCACACCUUCUGCAGGACCUCUGCCAUGUUACUAGCCGGUAAUGGAUAUUACACGUAUAGAAGACUCAAUCGCACGACAACCAAGAUUGUCCAAUUAAUUUCGGGUUCAGAAGAACAUCAUCAAAUAAACUUAUAGAAAAGAAAAUCAGUAUGAUUUCUAAAACAUGACCAUUGACCAUUUGAUGAAUGUAUC